rnacentral:lncRNA from 1 species
AUGCAUUUUUGUCGCACGCAGCAGCAGCGUUUCUAGUUUGAAAUCGGUUUCUUUUUCCAUUACUGGGAAUCGCUUCCCAUCUCUAACUUCAAGACUUGGACCCUUUCAAGUUUCCUAGUCGAGAACACCAUCCAUUAUUUGAAAAGGCUGCUUAUCUUCAAGUCAGCAGUGACGGAUUUGGAGUUAAUUUUGGAAAUCCAAAGCCAAGAGCUUGAUAUUACCGGAUUGCUGAUGCAACUAGUGGGCAUGAAAUUUUGAGGGAGUCUAUAGGAGAUGAAGUAACUCCGAAUGCAAAUCAUGACCAGCCCUCAUU